UACGUAGGGGGCAAGCGUUGUCCGGAAUUAUUGGGCGUAAAGAGCGCGUAGGCGGUCCGAUAAGUCGGCUGUGAAAGUCAGGGGCUCAACCCUUGAAAGCCGGCCGAUACUGUCGGACUAGAGUCCGGAAGAGGCAAGUGGAAUUCCCGGUGUAGCGGUGAAAUGACGCAGAUAUCGGGAGGAACACCAAUGGCGAAGGCA
rnacentral:rRNA from 1 species